GGGGAUUUAGCUCAGUGGUAGAGCACUUGCGCAAGCGCAAGGCCCUGGGUUCAGUCCCCA
rnacentral:tRNA from 1 species